rnacentral:rRNA from 1 species
AGAGGGCGUGAAACCGCUUAGAAGGAAACGAGAGGCGCUGCUAGUUUCCUUCAAGAUUCAGCCUGUGCGCGUUCUUUGAGCGCGUCGGGUGCAUUUCUUGUUGGAGUGCACUGAGAGGUGUUCCGGAUCUGGUACUGCCUUUUGGCGGUGAGCACACCUUGUGCAGCCUCACAAGGGGUAAGUGUCUGGUCUGGGACAUUUUUGUACCCGUUUGGCGUUCAGUGUUGCCGAUUGAUUGCACUUGCGGAGUGGUCUGGCUCGGUCGUUCUAUUCCGCAUAGGUGAUUUUGAGGUCGCAUCUGAACGGGUGUUUUCUCGGUGUUUUAGUCGGCCACCCUCCCGACCCGUCUUGAAACACGGACCAAGGAGUCUAACAUGUGCGCGAGUCAUUGGGUGUAUUAAUCCUACAGGCGAAAUGAAAGUAAAAGUCGACUCUGUCGGCUUACACACGAUUCCGUUGGCUUGCCAACAGGAGGCAGUGUGGUCCCAUCUUGAUUGCUUGCCAGUGAGGUGGAGACAGAGCGUACAUGUUGGGACCCGAAAGAUGG